rfam:Picea glauca, whole genome shotgun sequence.
CCAUAUGACGGUGAAUUCAUUCCCGGGCCUUGUACACACCGCCCGUCACACUAUGGGAGCUGGCCAUGACCCAAGUCAUUACCUUAACUGGAAGGAGGGGGAUGUCGAAGGCUGGGCUAGUCACUAGAGUGAAGUCGUAACAAGGUAGUCGUACUGGAAGGUGCAACUAGAUCACCUCCUUU